GUGUUUACCCAAAGGAGUUGAAAACAUGUCCACACAGAAAACCUGCACAUGAAUGUUUAUAGCAGCUUUACUCAAAAUUGCCAGAAAUUGGAAGCAACCAAGAUGUCCUUCAAUAGUUCUUUCUCCUCCUGUGGCAAAUGUGAAGCUACACGUUGGGGACUGCAGUAUCCCAAGAUGCAAAGAGCCUGGAUCUCUGAGUCACUCCACUGCCUGGAGAAGGAUGACUCAACUGGAACAUCCUCAUUAGACAACAGGCUCCAGAAGACCACAUUCCCCAAUCCUGUUGCAUAUGGAUGAAGCCAUGUGAUUGACUUUGAGCAAUGUCAUAUGGGUAUUACAGCUGCUGGCGCCUGGCUAGGGCAAACAGGCAGGAAGAUUGGUCCUCUUUGCUUUCUCUCUUUCUUCUGGAAAGAGACACUUUUCUCCUCUGGCCUUUGGACAUCAGACUCCAGGUUCUCCAACUUUUGGACUCUGAACCUGGCACCAGCAGCCUGCUGGGAGCUCUUAGGGCUCAAUGGGGACUGCACUGUCAGCCUCCCUGGUUCUGAGUCUUUGGACUUGGACUGAGCCACUGGCUUCUCUGGUUUUUCAGCUUGUAGUUGGACUAUCAUGGGACUUUGACUCUGAUUAUGUGAGCCAGUUCCCCCUUAAAAAAAAUCCCUUUUCAUAUAUCCUGCUGGCUCUAUCUCUCUGGGGGAACCCUGACUAAAAUAGCCACUGAGACUUGGGAGUUAUUAUAGCUUCUAACAUUACUUGCAUGAAUAGCAUAGUAUUGAAUAAUGAUUGUGAGUUCACAAAGUAGACAAGGGGGAAGGAAGAAAAGUAGUUCAGGUAAGAAAGGACAACAAUGCUCAAACAUAUUUAUUAGAGGGGGUUCAGGAUAGUUUCUGGAUGGCUGCAGGACUUGGUGAUUCCAAAGGCCAUGUGCAAAAGAGGAGGAAAGGACAGCAGGACCACAUAAUAAGGAGUCCUUAUGUCCCGAUGGCAAGUUGAAGAUGUUAUUCUGCAAGUGAUACGGAAGCAUGGAUGUUAGGCCAGAAAUACUUUGACAUAAUGUUGUAUUUAAAAAUACUUCCCAGAACCCAAAUGAAGAGGCAUUCUAAAAUACCUAACCAGUGUUCUUAAACUAUGUCAAGGUCAUGAAAGACAAGAAAAGAAUGAGGAACUAUCACAGCCUGGAGAGGACUAGGGAGACAAGACAGCUAAACAAAAUGUGGGAUCCUGUAUCAUACCCUGGGGUAGAAAAAUGACAUUAAUGGAAAAGCUGUCAAAACUUCAAUAAGAUCUGCAAUUUAGUUAA